CCUACGGGUGGCAGCAGUGAGGAAUAUUGGUCAAUGGCCGAGAGGCUGAACCAGCCAAGUCGCGUGAGGGAAGACGGCCCUACGGGUUGUAAACCUCUUUUGUCGGGGAGCAAAGCGAGUCACGUGUGACUCAUUGAGAGUACCCGAAGAAAAAGCAUCGGCUAACUCCGUGCCAGCAGCCGCGGUAAUACGUAGGUGGCAAGCGUUAUCCGGAUUUAUUGGGUGUAAAGGGCGUGUAGGCGGGAAAGCAAGUCAGAUGUGAAAGUUCAGGGCUCAACCCUGAGACUGCAUUUGAAACUGGUUGUCUUGAGUGCAGGAGAGGUAAGCGGAAUUCCGUGUGUAGCGGUGAAAUGCGUAGAUAUAAGGAGGAACACCAGUGGCGAAGGCGGAUUGCUGGACAGUAACUGACGCUGAGGCGCGAAAGCGUGGGGAGCAAACAGGAUUAGAUACCCGUGUAGUC
rnacentral:rRNA from 1 species